GCGCGCGUAGCUCAAUUGGAUAGAGCAUCGGUCUUCGGAACCGACGGUUGGGGGUUCGAAUCCCUCCGCGCGCG
rnacentral:tRNA from 1 species